rnacentral:tRNA from 1 species
UCCCUGGCAGUCCAGUGGUUAGGACUCUGUGCUUCCAGUGCAAGGGCACAGGUUUGAUCCCUGGUCAGGGAA